rnacentral:tRNA from 1 species
CGUUUCGUGGCUUGGGUGGUUUGAGCGCCGGCCUAAUGAAUCCGGAGUCGUGGGUACAAAUCCCACCAGAAUGC